GGACGAACGCUGGCGGCGUGCUUAACACAUGCAAGUCGAACGGAAAGGCCCUGCUUUUGUGGGGUGCUCGAGUGGCGAACGGGUGAGUAACACGUGAGUAACCUGCCCUUGACUUUGGGAUAACUUCAGGAAACUGGGGCUAAUACCGGAUAGGAGCUCCUGCUGCAUGGUGGGGGUUGGAAAGUUUCGGCGGUUGGGGAUGGACUCGCGGCUUAUCAGCUUGAUGGUGGGGUAGUGGCUUACCAAGGCUUUGACGGGUAGCCGGCCUGAGAGGGUGACCGGCCACAUUGGGACUGAGAUACGGCCCAGACUCCUACGGGAGGCAGCAGUGGGGAAUAUUGCACAAUGGGCGGAAGCCUGAUGCAGCAACGCCGCGUGCGGGAUGACGGCCUUCGGGUUGUAAACCGCUUUCGCCUGUGACGAAGCGUGAGUGACGGUAAUGGGUAAAGAAGCACCGGCUAACUACGUG
rnacentral:rRNA from 1 species